rnacentral:miRNA from 1 species
CAGCCGGUGGUGACUGUUUCCACA